ensembl:lncRNA
GACACAUUCAGACAUGCCCCAAGUACAGCGUGAGCAGCACACGUCCAUUUCCGAUGGUGAAGCACCUUUUCUGCAUAAAGAGGACAUGGUGUUUCCAGUGGAGGAUGCAUUCUCUGAUUGUGUAUUAGUGGUCAGAUGCUGAGCUGGUGAACUCCUUUCCUCACAGGAACACCUGGUAUGCAGUUUACAUCCCGCGAGAAGCAAACUUCCAUUAGGAACUGAGUAGAGAAGAUGACUAAAUCUGCACGGACUUAUCAACAGACUUUUGCAAGCAUGAGCUCUUUAGCUUAGUCUUGUGAAACCACCCCACAAAACACAUCUGCACACACAGUGAGAAUUUCAGAGCAACAAAGCUUUCAGGUGUUUACAGGAGCUUUGAUCCUAAAAUGACAGCAAAUGGGCAUGAUGAAAAGAGUCUAAUUAUCAUUCUUGUGGAUAGAAUGAGAUUGUCUGACACUAGCAAAUGUUCCUGGACUUGAAUCAGUUGUGUGCCAGUAAGAACACAAGGAUUGGAGACAAACAUGUUGCAAAAUGAACCAUAGGCUGGAGCUUUCAUCCAAAAUCCAUAUCCAUGUCAGCUCAUUCAAAAACAUGAUGAGCAUGGCACAGAGGGCUUUGCAGGGCUUAUUGCAAAGGCUCCCAGCAUCUGAAGGAGGCAGAAGAAAAUGCAGAAACAACUAUAGAAGACAAUGAGGAAAUGGAACCAAAAUCAUGGAUGAAUUGUAGCAAGAACCCUGGGAAAAAAAAAAAAAAAAAAAAAAAAAAAGAAAAAAAAAAGAAUUUAUUUGGUUGAGUACUGAUUAAAAGAGGCAUCAGCUGUUUCCAGCCCUUUCCAGGAUACAGGAUGCUAUGUCCUCCUCAGAAACAAACAAACAAAUAAACAACAACAACAACAUUGCUCCUCAUUAAAAUGAAAGGGUUGAUUUGCAAAAUGCAAUGUUGCCUCUUAAAUUCAAGACAGAUUAUCUGGCUUGGAGGUGCCAGAUUAGGUGCUCCAAAACGCAAGGUAACUGGCAGGUGAAGGCCUUGGUCUCUCAGACUGAUAAGCUCUGAUAAAGAAGGUGGAUGGCUCAGACUCUCUCCUGACCCUCAGCACAUGAGCUGGCUUUUUUUUCUCUUGAAAUCAAUUGUGAAACAAGCAUUGUCUUUCCUGAGGCUCCAUCUUCCAACAUGGAAGGACCUGGAUGGAAUGAGAAAUCUUUCUCAUAUUUAUGAAACAUAAAGCAAAGGAGAGGGAGUGGAUCUCAAAAGAACUGAAGAUAGAUCACUUCAUUUUUAAAUGAUGGAUCACUUCAAUGGCUCACACUUUUGAACUCCCAGAGGAGCAGAGUGGAAGAGUCAAUGACUGCUACACUGAAGGCUGCAUUAGUCACAGCAUUAAGGUACAUCUGUCUCAGGAGAAAUCUUUCAUUCCCCAGCUGGGUGAAGAUCUUUCAGUGCUUGACUGCAGCUGGUCUCCACCACAUUUAGAGAGGUCUCAGAAAUCUUGGUCUCGUCAUGCCUCUUGCAUCCAGUGGCCACCAUCUUCCUGACUUGCUGUAUCUUCCAUGAAACAUAUAUUUCUGUAUAUUUCCAUGAAACAGCUACCUGGAAAGUAUCAACAGCAUCUGCAUCCAGUGGAGCCCAAGAGGAAAACCUAAGACAAGCCCUGAGACCUCUGAUGGUUUCUCCU